rnacentral:rRNA from 1 species
GAGUUUGAUCUUGGCUCAGAUUGAACGCUGGCGGCAUGCCUUACACAUGCAAGUCGAACGGCAGCACGGAAGCUUGCUCCUGGUGGCGAGUGGCGAACGGGUGAGUAAUGCAUCGGAACGUAUCCUGGAGUGGGGGAUAACGUAGCGAAAGUUACGCUAAUACCGCAUAUUCUGUGAGCAGGAAAGCGGGGGACCUUCGGGCCUCGCGUC